UGGGCGCUAGAUGUGGGGACCAUUCCACGGUUUCCGUGUCGCAGCUAACGCAUUAAGCGCCCCGCCUGGGGAGUACGGCCGCAAGGCUAAAACUCAAAGGAAUUGACGGGGGCCCGCACAAGCGGCGGAGCAUGCGGAUUAAUUCGAUGCAACGCGAAGAACCUUACCAAGGCUUGACAUAUACGAGAACGCUCUAGAAAUAGAGAACUCUUUGGACACUCGUAUACAGGUGGUGCAUGGCUGUCGUCAG
rnacentral:rRNA from 1 species